rnacentral:rRNA from 1 species
AUUGAACGCUGGCGGCAUGCCUUACACAUGCAAGUCGAACGGCAGCACGGGGCAACCUGGUGGCGAGUGGCGAACGGGUGAGUAAUGCAUCGGAACGUACCUUUCAAUGGGGGAUAACGUAGCGAAAGUUACGCUAAUACCGCAUAUUCUGUGAGCAGGAAAGCAGGGGAUCGCAAGACCUUGCGCUGAUUGAGCGGCCGAUGUCAGAUUAGCUAGUUGGUGAGGUAAAGGCUCACCAAGGCGACGAUCUGUAGCGGGUCUGAGAGGAUGAUUCGCCACACUGGAACUGAGGCACGGUCCAGGCUCCUACGGGGGUCAGCAGUUGGGAAUUUUGGAGAAUGGGGGCAACCCUGACCCAGCCAUGCCGAGUGAGUGAAGAAGGCCUUCGGGUUGUAAAGCUCUUUCGGCCGGGAAGAAAUCGCACGGGCUAAUACCCUGUGUGGAUGACGGUACCGGAAUAAGAAGCACCGGCUAACUACGUGCCAGCCGCCGCGGUAACAC